rnacentral:rRNA from 1 species
ACGGCGAGUGAAGCGGGAUGAGCUCAAAUUUAAAAUCUGGCUGGUUUACUAGUCCGAAUUGUAGUUUAUAGAAGCGUUUUCGGUGGCAGCCUGGGUAUAAAUCCUUUGGAAUAGGGUAUCAUAGAGGGUGAGAAUCCCGUCUUUGACUCAGUGCAUGCUACUAUGUGAUACGUUUUCAAAGAGUCGAGUUGUUUGGGAAUGCAGCUCAAAAUGGGUGGUAAAUUUCAUCUAAGGCUAAAUAUUGGCGAGAGACCGAUAGCGAACAAGUACCGUGAGGGAAAGAUGAAAAGAACUUUGAAAAGAGAGUUAAACAGUGCGUGAAAUUGUUGAAAGGGAAACGUUUGACACCAGUUAUGCGGGUGGAAAAUCAGUCUUUUGCAGUGGGGAGUUGUGGGCGUUCAGACCGCAAGGCUGGCGUUUGCUUCAUCUUUGUUGUAAGUGAUGCACUUUUUCAUUUGCAGGUCAACAUCAGUUUGCUUUGCUGGACAAAACCCCAAGGGAAGGUGGCAGCUUAGGCUGUGUUAUAGCCCUGGGGCGAUACAGUGGAGUGGACUGAGGUUUCGCAGUGUGUGCUCUCGGGCAAGGCUGACUGGGUGCUAUGGGAUCGUUCGGCGUACAAUGCAUGCAUUUUGCGUCGUGUCUUUUUCAUACUCGCUCAACUCGGCUCUUCCACAC